rnacentral:rRNA from 1 species
GACGAACGCUGGCGGCGUGCUUAACACAUGCAGGUCGAACGGAAAGGCCCUGCUUUUGUGGGGUGCUCGAGUGGCGAACGGGUGAGUAACACGUGAGUAACCUGCCCUUGACUUUGGGAUAACUUCAGGAAACUGGGGCUAAUACCGGAUAGGAGCUCCUGCUGCAUGGUGGGGGUUGGAAAGUUUCGGCGGUUGGGGAUGAACUCGCGGCUUAUCAGCUUGUUGGUGGGGUAGUGGCUUACCAAGGCUUUGACGGGUAGCCGGCCUGAGAGGGUGACCGGCCACAUUGGGACUGAGAUACGGCCCAGACUCCUACGGGAGGCAGCAGUGGGGAAUAUUGCACAAUGGGCGGAAGCCUGAUGCAGCAACGCCGCGUGCGGGAUGACGGCCUUCGGGUUGUAAACCGCUUUCGCCUGUGACGAAGCGUGAGUGACGGUAAUGGGUAAAGAAGCACCGGCUAACUACGUG